UCGCAGGGUAACAUGAGGAAAGCUUGCUUUCCUUGAUGACGACUGGCGCACGGGUGAGUAACGCGUAUCCAACCUUCCCAUAACUACGGGAUAACCCGUUGAAAGACGGCCUAAUACCGUAUGAUAUCGUUUGCUGACAUCAAAUAACGAUUAAAGGUUUAGCGGUUAUGGAUGGGGAUGCGUCUGAUUAGCUUGUUGGCGGGGUAACGGCCCACCAAGGCUACGAUCAGUAGGGGUUCUGAGAGGAAGGUCCCCCACAUUGGAACUGAGACACGGUCCAAACUCCUACGGGAGGCAGCAGUGAGGAAUAUUGGUCAAUGGGCGAGAGCCUGAACCAGCCAAGUAGCGUGCAGGAUGACGGCCCUAUGGGUUGUAAACUGCUUUUAUGUGGGGAUAAAGUGCGUGACGUGUCAUGCAUUGCAGGUACCACAUGAAUAAGGACCGGCUAAUUCCGUGCCAGCAGCCGCGGUAAUACGGAAGGUCCGGGCGUUAUCCGGAUUUAUUGGGUUUAAAGGGAGCGUAGGCUGUCUAUUAAGCGUGUUGUGAAAUUUACCGGCUCAACCGGUGGCUUGCAGCGCGAACUGGUCGACUUGAGUAUGCAGGAAGUAGGCGGAAUUCAUGGUGUAGCGGUGAAAUGCUUAGAUAUCAUGACGAACUCCGAUUGCGCAGGCAGCUUACUGUAGCAUAACUGACGCUGAUGCUCGAAAGUGCGGGUAUCAAACAGGAUUAGAUACCUGGUAGUCCGCACGGUAAACGAUGGAUGCUCGCUAUUCGUCCUAUUUGGAUGAGUGGCCAAGUGAAAACAUUAAGCAUCCCACCUGGGGAGUACGCCGGCAACGGUG
rnacentral:rRNA from 1 species